rnacentral:lncRNA from 1 species
UGUUUCAACCUUUUGUGACAGAAAGGGGUAUUAAUUUUUAUUUUUAUUUUAAAUUGUUAGACCAUAAUAAAGUUAUUUGUGUGAAUGUUGCACAAUCACACGCGACAAUAUGGUUAUUCAAAUAUUGAACAUAUAUUAGGUUUUUUUAUUAAAAUAAAUUGAUCAUAGGGUAUGAAUUAUAUCAAUUUUUUUAGUUGUGUGACUUCUUCUACAUUCUCAUUGGUAUUAAUUAUUUGAUUCAUAUUGAUAUAAAAUUAUUGCAGUUAGGGGUGGUAAAAUGGAUUGAUCUGUUAUACAUAUCUAUUUUAUCUGCAUUUUUUUUUGUAGUUUGAGACAAAAAUUUAAUGUCGACCUCUUUAACGUGUGUGCACCGUCUCGUCCCUUUUUUUAAAGCUUUUUCAAGUGAGGAUAUUAACAUAAGUUUUUCAUUUUUAGAAUUAAAAAUUAUAAUGCCCACAAGUCCGCCCUAUCCUCGUUUUUUUUGCUGAUCAAAGUUUUAGGCUCGCAACCUAAACUAUACCCGCCUUGCUCCGUCUUAUGUUUUUGCAUGCAUUACUAUAAAUAAUAUAUUUUAUAACAUUAUUUUCACCUCUCUCUCAAUAAAAACUCGAGAUAUAAUUCCUGGACGCGUCAUGUUUUUUUUCUUAAAAAAAUAUCCUUUAUUCUGUCAGUUGUAGUAAAUAAUCGAGGGGUAAACUAAUUCAAGGUACUUCCUUCGAAUCUCAAAUACUGUAGUUUAUGUUUUUAUUUCAUUAAAAGAUUUAAAAUUGACAUCUUUUUGUUUACUUUUUUUAUUUAAAUAUUAAUUACUCUACUCCUUCAGUUAUUUUAAUAACAUAGGGGUAUGAUAAAAAGUUUUAAGUAUAAAAGGAUUUGUUCCCUUAGUGGUACCCUAAACCUAACUCAUAUACGACCGCUUCAUACUCAUAAACAUCAUCCUUUGGGAUGAAUUGCAGGACAGGAAAUUAAUUUGGUUUUAUGUUGUUGUUCUUAUAACACCCACCUUCAAUAAAAUAUUUUUUUGUUCUUGCAAUCUAUUUCACACAAUGAUGUUGUUUUUGUUUUUGUUUUUGUUGUUGUUGUUGUUUCCACCUCUUGCCAAUUUUGAAUGGUAAAAGAAAACAUUGUUAUAUUUUGGAAUAACUUCCUAAUAUUGUCAGUCAAAGAAAAUUUUUAUAAUAUAUUUAUUUCUUUGGUUGACAACAUUGAGAAAUUUAUUUCUAAUCAUAGUGCAAUUUUGUGGUUUCACAAAACAAGAUCUUGAAAAUUUAGUUUAGAAUAUAAUCAUUUGUUUGAUUAUUGCAACACAGAAAGGAAUUGGUGAAUGGUUGAUAAGUGACAGAUACAUCUUACUUAUUGCUUGUUUUCCUUCCACUUUCAUGUUUGUUUUCAUCAUUUUAGUUCGAUUUUAUGCGCUUUUGUCUUUCUUUGAUGUUUUCAGACAAUAAGAGGGUAAUUGACCAAAUUAGAGCAAAAAAGGCCAAAGAUCACGCGAAAAGAAUCCCUUACCAUACAAAAUUCAUGUGGAUAACAUGGCCUGGUCGUUUCCCCUGACACAGGUCGUGUUGGACCUUGGAGCCAUCCCCAUAGAAGCAAGCCAAGGAUGACACGAUUUGGCCGUGUACCCUGACACAUGUCAUGCCAGUUCCCCAGGCAGUUACAAAUUCUAUUCAUUUUGGUAUAGUGAUACAUGUCUUAUUUUAGUAUAAAUAGAGGAUCAGGCUUCAAGAAAAUAAUCACUUAUCACCCACUACAAUUGCUACUUUUUCCUUUGUAUUUUGUUUCCAUCUUUAGGCUUUAGUUCUGGCUAGUCUUGUAAUCACUAUGCACUUUGGUAUUUCAAUCUUGCAUUGUUUUUCAUUUCAAUUUAUUAUUAAAUUAGUGUUUCUUGCUUUAAUUUA